GAACAACAGUUCCACAAGCAUGAGCACACUUGAAUUCAGGUGAGAGUGUGACCACUCCCAUUCCUGUCACGUAGAAAGAAGAAAACUCCCGUUUCGUACAGAAAUUCCAUGAGAAGCAAACUGGCGCCACGUCGUAUUAUUUGUAUUCUUCGUUCUACGAAUCAACAAAACCAGAUCACGACUCGGACACGAUUCACAUGGAGCACCUAUCUCACGCUUUUUCGACGUGGUAGCCAGGUUGCCUCUCUUCCUCAUCACUUAUUUAAGACGCCCGUCUGGGUUAAAAAAUCGUGACCGAACAAUGACCGGCGGUAUGUAAGGCCUUCCACAGCGUAGCCGGUGCCAAAUACAUCAAAAGGCAGCCACCUCAUCACCGGUGCCCAAAAUUGCUUUUCAGGCAUCGAUCUCACAACGUAGGGCUUCGGCAGGAAAAAGAUUUUGGGACCCAUAUGAUAAACAAGUACACCACGCUGCUGUGUAUUGAGCAAAGAGAGAAGACAUUUGCUGUUCAAAGUUGAGAGUUAAUAGUAUUUUAUUGGCUGGAGGAAUUGGGCAUCGUGUUCUUACUUGCUCCGAUGCCAUGAAAAUUUUGUUGGGGCACCGGCCUCACAACAUGAGGGCACCGGCUAUCGGAGCCAGAAGUUAAUUUGGCACCUCUUUUGGCCUACAUAAUGGAAGGUCUAAGAGGUGGGUUUGAGAGAUCGGUUGUAGAUGCUCUUAAUAAGCUAGUACUAGAAGAAGAACAUGUAUAGGGGAGGAAGGGGACAUAAGUGAAUCCCGAACGGAAGCACGUACCUGCGGGUGAUGGCCGAGUCGAGAAACACGGUCGACGUUCGUGAUCGAGUUGGCGCCGUGCCGGAGCUAAUUCAAGGGAAUGCCGCCGCCUUCCAACCGGAGACGAGACUGUAUUAUGUGGCUGACAACCUGCGUAGCUUUCAAACAUGGUGGCUCCUUUUGGAAAAGGCUCGGAGUGGAGACCCCAACCGUGUCACUCGUGUCAUACAUAUGCACCUUACAAAGGGCUGCAAGCUUUACUACACAGAUGUGUUGGGUGUACAUUUGGUUUUAACAAAUUUGAGACCUUAUCUUUUUUUGUUGGGUUUGCAGCUUUUAUGUCAUUUUAAAUACAUAUGUGUAUGCUGUCAAUACACUAUAGAUUAACAUACACUAGUGUCAAAAACGCUUUUAUAUUAUAAAACGGAGGGAGUAGUCUGAUUUUCUCAACACGUAAUUUUUUUUAAACGGAGGCAAAAGAUUUGGCUCAUUCAUUAAUUAAGCAGAAAAGAACUGCCCAGUUAAUUAAUGAAAAACCAGGCGAAAAUCAUCACAAACUACUGAGUGACACCAAUGAAAGACCUACACGCGCCACUCACAAGAGGGCCUCGUCAAGACUGCACGUCGACAUCAUCGCCAUCACUUCUCCCCUAGAGGCAUCAUUGCCAUCUCAAACUAUGAGAAACGACUCCAACUUCACCUCAAGAGGGCCUCGUCAAGACCGCACCUCGAGCGUCAUCACCAUCACUUCUCCCCUAGAGGUGUCAUCGCCAUCCCAAACUCUGAAAAACAACUCUGACUUCGCCAAAGGCGAUCAUCAAACCAACCCACCCUGAAUAGGCCGUGCGGAAUCACAUGAAGAUCCACAUCGGACCUCAGCCACUACAACAAGAAAGCACAGCUCUAACACCAACAGAGAGCUACGAAUGAACCAAGCAGCUGUGAAGUCGAAGCUACAGUGGCAGGGCCCGGUGGCAUAUGCUGACGAGUAGGUGGUCCGUUCGGUGAUCUUCCUCAACACGUAGUAUGACUUCAGUGCACACGACACAGUAUAUGCCCCCAUGGAGACCGACAACAGAACAACAGUUCCACAAGCAUGAGCACACUUGAAUUCAGGUGAGAGUGUGACCACUCCCAUUCCUGUCACGUAGAAAGAAGAAAACUCCCGUUUCGUACAGAAAUUCCAUGAGAAGCAAAAUGGCGUCACGUCGUAUUAUUUGUAUUCUUCGUUCUACGAAUCAGCAAAACCAGAUCACGACUCGGACACGAUUCACAUGGAGCACCUAUCUCACGCUUUUUCGACGCUGUAGCCAGGCUGCCUCUCUUCCUCAUCACUUAUUUAAGACGCCUGUCUGGGUUAAAAAAUCGUGACCGAACAAUGACCGGCGGUAUGUAAGGCCUUCCACAGCGUAGCCGGUGCCAAAUACAUCAAAAGGCAGCCACCUCAUCACCGGUGCCCAAAAUUGCUUUUCAGGCAUCGAUCUCACAACGUAGGGCUUCGGCAGGAAAAAGAUUUUGGGACCCAUAUGAUAAACAAGUACACCACGCUGCUGUGUAUUGAGCAAAGAGAGAGAAGACAUUCGCUGUUCAAAGUUGAGAGUUAAUAGUAUUUUAUUGGCUGGAGGAAUUGGGCAUCGUGUUCUUACUUGCUCCGAUGCCAUGAAAAUUUUGUUGGGGCACCGGCCUCACAACGUGAGGGCACCGGCUAUCGGAGCCAGAAGUUAAUUUGGCACCUCUUUUGGCCUACAUAAUGGAAGGUCUAAGAGGUGGGUUUGAGAGAUCGGUUGUAGAUGCUCUUAAUAAGCUAGUACUAGAAGAAGAACAUGUAUAGGGGAGGAAGGGGACAUAAGUGAAUCCCGAACGAAAGCACGUACCUGCGGGUGAUGGCCGAGUCAAGAAACACGGUCGACGUUCGUGAUCGAGUUGGCGCCGUGCCGGAGCUAAUUCAAGGGAAUGCCGCCGCCUUCCAACCGGAGACGAGACUGUAUUAUGUGGCUGACAACCUGCGCAGCUUUCAAACAUGGUGGCUCCUUUUGGAAAAGGCUCGGAGUGGAGACCCCAACCGUGUCACUCGUGUCAUACAUAUGCACCUUACAAAGGGCUGCGAGCUUUACUACACAGAUGUGUUGGGUGUUCAUUUGGUUUUAACAAAUUUGAGACCUUAUCUUUUUUUUGUUGGGUUUGCAGCUUUUAUGUCAUUUUAAAUACAUAUGUGUAUGCUGUCAAUACACUAUAGAUUAACAUACACUAGUGUCAAAAACGCUUUUAUAUUAUAAAACGGAGGGAGUAGUCUGAUUUUCUCAACACGUAAGGGCUUCUUUGAUUCAAAGGAAUUGCAUAGGAUUUUUGGAGGAUUUGAAUCCUUAGGAAUUUUUCCUGUGAUGCUCGUUUGAUUCGUAGGAUUGGCAUCCUUAGGAAUUUUUCCAUAGGAUCCAUUUGUACUACAUUUUGGAGGAAAAUUUGCAUCCACUGAAACCUCUUUGUAGGAUUCCUUUGUUUUUCCUGCGCUAUCAAACAUUCUUUGAGAUCCUGUAGGAUACUAUGGGACAUGUCAUCCUAUUCCUGCAUUUUUCCUAUUCCUUCAUUUUGACAAUCCUGCGAAUCAAAGAGGCCCUAAAUUUUUUUUUAAACGGAGGCAAAAGAUUUGGCUCAUUCAUUAAUUAAGCAGAAAAGAACUGCCCAGUUAAUUAAUGAAAAACCAGGCGAAAAUCAUCACAAACUACUGAGUGACACCAAUGAAAGACCUACACGCGCCACUCACAAGAGGGCCUCGUCAAGACUGCACGUCGACAUCAUCGCCAUCACUUCUCCCCUAGAGGCAUCAUUGCCAUCCCAAACUAUGAGAAACGACUCCAACUUCACCUCAAGAGGGCCUCGUCAAGACCGCACCUCGAGCGUCAUCACCAUCAUUUCUCCCCUAGAGGUGUCAUCGCCAUCCCAAACUCUGAAAAACAACUCUGACUUCGCCAAAGGCGAUCAUCAAACCAACCCACCCUGAAUAGGCCGUGCGGAAUCACAUGAAGAUCCACAUCGGACCUCAGCCACUACAACAAGAAAGCACAGCUCUAACACCAACAGAGAGCUACGAAUGAACCAAGCAGCUGUGAAGUCGAAGCUACAGUGGCAGGGCCCGGUGGCAUAUGCUGACGAGUAGGUGGUCCGUUCGGUGAUCUUCCUCAACACGUAGUAUGACUUCAGUGCACACGACACAGUAUAUGCCCCCCUGGAGACCGACAACAGAACAACAGUUCCACAAGCAUGAGCACACUUGAAUUCAGGUGAGAGUGUGACCACUCCCAUUCCUGUCACGUAGAAAGAAGAAAACUCCCGUUUCGUACAGAAAUUCCAUGAGAAGCAAAAUGGCGCCACGUCGUAUUAUUUGUAUUCUUUGUUCUACGAAUCAGCAAAACCAGAUCACGACUCGGACACGAUUCACAUGGAGCACCUAUCUCACGCUUUUUCGACGCGGUAGCCAGGCUGCCUCUCUUCCUCAUCACUUAUUUAAGACGCCCGUCUGGGUUAAAAAAUCGUGACCGAACAAUGACCGGCGGUAAGGCCUUCCACAGCGUAGCCGGUGCCAAAUACAUCAAAAGGCAGCCACCUCAUCACCGGUGCCCAAAAUUGCUUUUCAGGCAUCGAUCUCACAACGUAGGGCUUCGGCAGGAAAAAGAUUUUGGGACCCAUAUGAUAAACAAGUACACCACGCUGCUGUGUAUUGAGCAAAGAGAGAGAAGACAUUUGCUGUUCAAAGUUGAGAGUUAAUAGUAUUUUAUUGGCUGGAGGAAUUGGGCAUCGUGUUCUUACUUGCUCCGAUGCCAUGAAAAUUUUGUUGGGGCACCGGCCUCACAACGUGAGGGCACCGGCUAUCGGAGGCAGAAGUUAAUUUGGCACCUCUUUUGGCCUACAUAAUGGAAGGUCUAAGAGGUGGGUUUGAGAGAUCGGUUGUAGAUGCUCUUAAUAAACUAGUACUAGAAGAAGAACAUGUAUAGGGGAGGAAGGGGACAUAAGUGAAUCCCGAACGGAAGCACGUACCUGCGGGUGAUGGCCGAGUCGAGAAACACGGUCGACGUUCGUGAUCGAGUUGGCGCCGUGCCGGAGCUAAUUCAAGGGAAUGCCGCCGCCUUCCAACCGGAGACGAGACUGUAUUAUGUGGCUGACAACCUGCGCAGCUUUCAAACAUGGUGGCUCCUUUUGGAAAAGGCUCGGAGUGGAGACCCCAACCGUGUCACUCGUGUCAUACAUAUGCACCUUACAAAGGGCUGCGAGCUUUACUACACAGAUGUGUUGGGUGUACAUUUGGUUUUAACAAAUUUGAGACCUUAUCUUUUUUUUGUUGGGUUUGCAGCUUUUAUGUCAUUUUAAAUACAUAUGUGUAUGCUGUCAAUACACUAUAGAUUAACAUACACUAAUGUCAAAAACGCUUUUAUAUUAUAAAACGGAGGAAGUAGUCUGAUUUUCUCAACACGUAAGGGCUUCUUUGAUUCAAAGGAAUUGCAUAGGAUUUUUGGAGGAUUUGAAUCCUUAGGAAUUUUUCCUGUGAUGCUCGUUUGAUUCGUAGGAUUGGCAUUCUUAGGAAUUUUUCCAUAGGAUCCAUUUGUACUACAUUUUGGAGGAAAAUUUUCAUCCACUCAAACCUCUUUGUAGGAUUCCUUUGUUUUUCCUGCGCUAUCAAACAUUCUUUGAGAUCCCGUAGGAUACUAUGGGACAUGUCAUCCUAUUCCUGCAUUUUUCCUAUUCCUUCAUUUUGACAAUCCUGCGAAUCAAAGAGGCCCUAAAUUUUUUUUUAAACGGAGGCAAAAGAUUUGGCUCAUUCAUUAAUUAAGCAGAAAAGAACUGCCCAGUUAAUUAAUGAAAAACCAGGCGAAAAUCAUCACAAACUACUGAGUGACACCAAUGAAAGACCUACACGCGCCACUCACAAGAGGGCCUCGUCAAGACUGCACGUCGACAUCAUCGCCAUCACUUCUCCCCUAGAGGCAUCAUUGCCAUCCCAAACUAUUGAGAAACGACUCCAACUUCACCUCAAGAGGGCCUCGUCAAGACCACACCUGGCGCGUCAUCACCAUCACUUCUCCCCUAGAGGUGUCAUCGCCAUCCCAAACUCUGAAAAACAACUCUGACUUCGCCAAAGGCGAUCAUCAAACCAACCCACCCUGAAUAGGCCGUGCAGAAUCACAUGAAGAUCCACAUCGGACCUCAGCCACUACAACAAGAAAGCACAGCUCUAACACCAACAGAGAGCUACGAAUGAACCAAGCAGCUGUGAAGUCGAAGCUACAGUGGCAGGGCCCGGUGGCAUAUGCUGACGAGUAGGUGGUCCGUUCGGUGAUCUUCCUCAACACGUAGUAUGACUUCAGUGCACACGACACAGUAUAUGCCCCCCUGGAGACCGACAACAGAACAACAGUUCCACAAGCAUGAGCACACUUGAAUUCAGGUGAGAGUGUGACCACUCCCAUUCCUGUCACGUAGAAAGAAGAAAACUCCCGUUUCGUACAGAAAUUCCAUGAGAAGCAAAAUGGCGCCACGUCGUAUUAUUUGUAUUCUUCGUUCUACGAAUCAGCAAAACCAGAUCACGACUCGGACACGAUUCACAUGGAGCACCUAUCUCACGCUUUUUCGACGCGGUAGCCAGGCUGCCUCUCUUCCUCAUCACUUAUUUCCACCAUGGAGAUGGUGGCCUCCAUCAGGCCGUAACUUUCUUCGACGUCACUGAGUUGCAGAUGGUGGCAAAGUCCGG
rnacentral:lncRNA from 1 species